AUUAAACGCUGGCGGCAUGCCUUACACAUGCAAGUCGAACGGUAGCGCGGGGCAACCUGGCGACGAGUGGCGAACGGGUGAGUAAAGCAUCGGAACGUGCCCUGGAAUGGGGGAUAACGUAGCGAAAGUUACGCUAAUACCGCAUAUACUGUGAGCAGGAAAGCAGGGGAUCGCAAGACCUUGCGUUCGAGGAGCGGCCGAUGUCGGAUUAGCUAGUUGGUGGGGUAAAGGCCUACCAAGGCGACGAUCCGUAGCGGGUCUGAGAGGACGACCAGCCACACUGGAACUGAGACACGGUCCAGACUCCUACGGGAGGCAGCAGUGGGGAAUUUUGGACAAUGGGCGCAAGCCUGAUCCAGCCAUUCCGCGUGCAGGAUGAAGGCCUUCGGGUUGUAAACUGCUUUUGUACGGAACGAAACGGUCUGCCCUAAUACGGCGGGCUAAUGACGGUACCGUAAGAAUAAGCACCGGCUAACUACGUG
rnacentral:rRNA from 1 species